rnacentral:misc_RNA from 1 species
GAAACAGAUGCUUUAUCAAACAGGAGAGCACGAACACGAAGCUGUAGGUGAAUCUGAACCCUAGUUUUUGCAUCGUCUGUUCUCAUGAAAGAAUCCCAAGUAGAGGGAGAAGAAAGAAGGUGAAUGAAACUGUUAUACAGUGAAUCGCCGAGCCAUGAACGCCAUACGCCGUGACUCUCCAGUUUCAGAGCUAGCUCGUAACCUCG